rnacentral:rRNA from 1 species
GGGCGGCGGGUGCCUAAUAACUGCAAGUCGAGCGAAUGGAUUAAGAGCUUGCUCUUAUGAAGUUAGCGGCGGCCGUUUGAGUAACACGUGGGUAACCUGCCCAUAAGACUGGGAUAACUCCGGGAAACCGGGGCUAAUACCGGAUAACAUUUUGAACCGCAUGGUUCGAAAUUGAAAGGCGGCUUCGGCUGUCACUUAUGGAUGGACCCGCGUCGCAUUAGCUAGUUGGUGAGGUAACGGCUCACCAAGGCAACGAUGCGUAGCCGACCUGAGAGGGUGAUCGGCCACACUGGGACUGACACACGGCCCAGACUCCUACGGGAGGCAGCAGUAGGGAAUCUUCCGCAAUGGACGAAAGUCUGACGGAGCAACGCCGCGUGAGUGAUGAAGGCUUUCGGGUCGUACAACUCUGUUGUUAGGGAAGAACUAGUGCUACAUUGAAUAAGCUGGCACCUUGACGGUACCUAACCAGAAAGCCGCGGCUAUCGACGUGCCAGCAGUCGCGAUCAUACUUAGGCGGCAACCGAUAUCCGCUAUUACUGCCACCAUAUAGCGCGCCGGAGGUCUCUUAUUUCUGUUGU